rnacentral:rRNA from 1 species
UGGUGCUUGCACCAGAUGACGAGUGGCGCACGGGUGCGUAACGCGUAUGCAAUCUACCUUUUACUAGAGUAUAGCCCAGAGAAAUUUGGAUUAAUCCUCUAUAAUAUCUUUAAGUUUCAUGACUUUUAGAUUAAAGUUUUAACGGUAAAAGAUGAGCAUGCGUCCUAUUAGUUUGUAGGUGAGGUAACGGCUCACCUAGACUACGAUAGGUAGGGGCCCUGAGAGGGGGAUCCCCCACACUGGUACUGAGACACGGACCAGACUCCUACGGGAGGCAGCAGUAAGGAAUAUUGGACAAUGGACGAAAGUCUGAUCCAGCCAUGCCGCGUGCAGGAUGAAAGCCCUAUGGGUUGUAAACUGCUUUUAUACAGGAAGAAACACUCGUACGUGUACGAGCUUGACGGUACUGUAAGAAUAAGGACCGGCUAACUCCGUGCCAGCAGCCGCGGUAAUACGGAGGGUCCGAGCGUUAUCCGGAAUCAUUGGGUUUAA